rnacentral:ncRNA from 6 species
GCCGUUCUUAGUUGGUGGAGUGAUUU